rnacentral:rRNA from 1 species
AUUGAACGCUGGCGGCAGGCCUAACACAUGCAAGUCGAACGAAGGCUUCGGCCUUAGUGGCGCACGGGUGCGUAACGCGUGGGAAUCUGCCCCUCGGUUCGGAAUAACAGUUAGAAAUGACUGCUAAUACCGGAUGAUGACUUCGGUCCAAAGAUUUAUCGCCGAGGGAUGAGCCCGCGUAAGAUUAGGUAGUUGGUGGGGUAAAGGCCUACCAAGCCGACGAUCUUUAGCUGGUCUGAGAGGAUGAUCAGCCACACUGGGACUGAGACACGGCCCAGACUCCUACGGGAGGCAGCAGUGGGGAAUAUUGGACAAUGGGCGAAAGCCUGAUCCAGCAAUGCCGCGUGAGUGAUGAAGGCCUUAGGGUUGUAAAGCUCUUUUACCAGGGAUGAUGAUGACAGUACCUGGAGAAUAAGCUCCGGCUAACUCCGUGCCAGCAGCCGCCGUAA